rnacentral:lncRNA from 1 species
UGUUUGUUGUUGUAGGUGUUUGUAUACAAUUAGCAAUCAAGCUGAUGUAAUCAACUAUCAAUCCUCACAUCCAUAGCUUUGACAAGUCUCAAGGGGGCGACAGUGAGGACGACUCUGAGUCCAGCUCUGAUUCGUCAGAGAGUUCUGAUUCAUCGCCGGACAGAAAGAGGAAGAUAAGGGGAAAGGGAAGAGAAAAAAGAGUGGGAAGAAGAGAACGAAUAAGAAAGAGAAAAAGGCGAAGAAAAGAAAACAUCGCUCUCACCAGCGGGUUGGAGGACCAGGUGAUGUGGUGAAGAGGUACAAGGAAGUCCUUGCCAUUUUCCAGACAGGGAAGAAUAUGGCCAAAUCCUUUGAGAAGUAUGGAGUAGACAGACUUACUAUUGUGAAGACUGCAGCGAUUGCCGAGCUCGCAAUACUGCUCCAGAAGAAUAUGAUCAGGUGGAGAAGCGCCGGACGGUGGCAGACUUUGCUAAAAGGUGCGAGGAGGUUAUAAAGGCUAACCAAGUCAUUUCUGCUACAAU